rnacentral:rRNA from 1 species
GGACCAAUUUGUUGGUCGUGCCUCGGUACGUACUGGUAUUAUUGGUUUCUCCCUUCUGAAGAACCUCGAUGCCAUUAAUUUGGUGUCGUGGGGAAUCAGGACUGUUACUUUGAAAAAUUAGAGUGUUUAAAGCAAGCAUACGCUUGAAUACAUUAGCAUGGAAUAAUGAAAUAGGACGUUUGAUUCUAUUUUGUUGGUUUCUAGGAUCGACGUAAUGAUUAA